AGAGUUUGAUCCUGGCUCAGAUUGAACGCUGGCGGAAUGCUUUACACAUGCAAGUCGAACGGCAGCACGGGAGCUUGCUCCUGGUGGCGAGUGGCGAACGGGUGAGUAACAUAUCGGAACAUAUCCUAUCGUGGGGGAUAACUAGUCGAAAGACUAGCUAAUACCGCAUACGUCCUGAGGGAGAAAGCGGGGGCUCGCAAGACCUCGCGCGAUUGGAGUGGCCGAUAUCUGAUUAGCUAGAUGGUGAGGUAAAAGCUCACCAUGGCGACGAUCAGUAGCUGGUCUGAGAGGAUGAUCAGCCACACUGGGACUGAGACACGGCCCAGACUCCUACGGGAGGCAGCAGUGGGGAAUUUUGGACAAUGGGCGAAAGCCUGAUCCAGCCAUUCCGCGUGAGUGAAGAAGGCCUUCGGGUUG
rnacentral:rRNA from 1 species